rnacentral:rRNA from 1 species
CGAGCGGUAAGGCCCUUCGGGGUACACGAGCGGCGAACGGGUGAGUAACACGUGGGUAACCUGCCCUGUACUCUGGGAUAAGCCUGGGAAACUAGGUCUAAUACCGGAUACGACCUGUCACCGCAUGGUGGUGGGUGGAAAGUUCCGGCGGUAUGGGAUGGACCCGCGGCCUAUCAGCUUGUUGGUGGGGUAAUGGCCUACCAAGGCGACGACGGGUAGCCGGCCUGAGAGGGUGACCGGCCACACUGGGACUGAGACACGGCCCAGACUCCUACGGGAGGCAGCAGUGGGGAAUAUUGCACAAUGGGCGAAAGCCUGAUGCAGCGACGCCGCGUGAGGGAUGACGGCCUUCGGGUUGUAAACCUCUUUCAGCGGGGACGAAGGGCAACUGACGGUACCCGCAGAAGAAGCACCGGCUAACUACGUGCCAGCAGCCGCGGUAAUACGUAGGGUGCGAGCGUUGUCCGGAAUUAUUGGGCGUAAAGAGCUCGUAGGCGGUUUGUUGCGUCGGCUGUGAAAACUUCACGCUUAACGUGGAGCCUGCAGUCGAUACGGGCAGACUUGAGUUCGGCAGGGGAGACUGGAAUUCCUGGUGUAGCGGUGAAAUGCGCAGAUAUCAGGAGGAACACCGGUGGCGAAGGCGGGUCUCUGGGCCGAUACUGACGCUGAGGAGCGAAAGCGUGGGGAGCGAACAGGAUUAGAUACCCUGGUAGUCCACGCCGUAAACGGU